UGCUUUUAAGGAGGGAGAGGGAAGGAGCAGCAGUUUUGACCAAGUGGCUGGUGCAGGUGUGAGCUGAGCAGGUGAUGUGCUCAGGUAAGCCAGACCUGCCUGGUCCUUGCUGUUGCUUUCUCUACAAUUCCUGUGCAGAUUUGUGGGGCAGGACUGAAAACAUGCACAAGGGGAAAUACAGUACCUCAGCCCCUGACCUUCCUGAAGCUGAAGUUUGGAAGAGCCUUGCUGGUGGUGAUUCAGGGCUGAGUGCAAGUGUCCUGCAGCAUGAGAUGGGCACACACAGAGGUCUCCUCUCGCCUGUAUGCUGGCACAAGGGCAGGUCUGUGGUGUGCCCUUCUCAGAAGUGGCUGUGUUUUGUUCCCAUAAUGGGUGCAGUUAUGUAGGGGAGAGGGAUUUGCACAUCCCAUGGAGCUGGAGCAGUGGGUGGGUUGAUUGCUGGAGCAAUCACAUGGGUGCCCCACAUCUGGGAACAAGCCUUGGGCUAACAGCUGGCUGAAAGCUUUUGGUGGGUUGGGUCCAUCUGGGAGCAUAUGAUUUGCCGAG